AGUCUGGUGCCAGCAGCCGCGGUAAUUCCAGCUCCAAUAGCGUAUAUUAAAAUUGUUGCAGUUAAAAAGCUCGUAGUUGAAUUUCUGCUGCCUUGUCGAGUCCCUCCGGGGUCUUGGCACGUGGCUUUUUUCGGACGGUUCGCUGUCUGGAUGUUUACUUUGAGAAAAUUAGAGUGCUCAAAGCAGGCUUUUGCCUUGAAUAGUUUAGCAUGGAAUAAUAAAGUAGGACUUUGGUUCUAUUUUGUUGGUUUUAGGUACCAAAGUAAUGGUUAAUAGGAACAGUUGGGGGCAUUCGUAUUUAACUGUCAGAGGUGAAAUUCUUAGAUUUGUUAAAGACGAACUACUGCGAAAGCAUUUGCCAAGGAUGUUUUCAUUAAUCAAGAACGAAAGUUAGGGGAUCGAAGACGAUCAGAUACCGUCGUAGUCCUAACCAUAAACAAUGCCGACUAGAGAUUGGAGGUCGUCAGUUUUUACGACUCCUUCAGCACCUUGAGAGAAAUCAAAGUCUUUGG
rnacentral:rRNA from 1 species